CGCUGGCGGCGUGCUUAACACAUGCAAGUCGAACGAGAAAGGGACCUUCGGGUUCUGAGUAGAGUGGCGCACGGGUGAGUAACACGUGGAUAAUCUGCCUGAUGGACAGGGAUAACACCCCGAAAGGGGUGCUAAUACCGGAUAAGCCCACAGCAUCUACGGAUGCAGCGGGAAAAGGGGGCCUCUUCAUGAAAGCUUCCGUCAUCAGAUGAGUCCGCGGUCCAUUAGCUAGUUGGUAGGGUAAAGGCCUACCAAGGCGACGAUGGAUAGCUGGUUUGAGAGAAUGAUCAGCCACACUGGAACUGAGACACGGUCCAGACUCCUACGGGAGGCAGCAGUGGGGAAUCUUGCGCAAUGGGGGCAACCCUGACGCAGCAACGCCGCGUGAGUGAUGAAGGUUUUCGGAUCGUAAAGCUCUGUCAGGAGGGAAGAAACCCCGAACGGUUAAUACCCGAUCGGAUUGACGGUACCUCCAAAGGAAGCACCGGCUAACUCCGUGCCAGCAGCCGCGGUAAUACGGAGGGUGCGAGCGUUGUUCGGAAUUAUUGGGCGUAAAGCGCGUGCAGGCGGUUUGUUAAGUCUGAUGUGAAAGCCCCGGGCUCAACCUGGGAAGUGCAUUGGAAACUGGCUGACUUGAGUACGGGAGAGGGAAGUGGAAUUUCCAGUGUAGGGGUGAAAUCCGUAGAUUUUCGAAGGACCCCC
rnacentral:rRNA from 1 species